rnacentral:lncRNA from 1 species
UGCAUGCGGUUUGAUACUGUGUUUCGCUUCGCUACAUUGUGGAGCGCGACGCGUCUCGUUCCCGUGUUAUGCUACCUAGAUGCGUGUAUAUCUCGUUCACCUUUGAUCUUUGACCCCUUGUUAAUUAGAGAUAUUUUGCAUGUCUCGGCCCUCCUAUCGAUCGAUACCAUUUUUUCUGGUCUUUCCAGUGUAUGCAAUCUUGCUCAGCGUCUUGUGGAGGGUGGCGGCGAGUUCGCGUGGUAGCGCGUUGGCGCGGCGCGCCGACUGCGUUGCCGCGUGAUCAUCCGGGCGCUCCGGGUGGGUGUGCGGUGGUCUGGGACACCCGGUGUAUACUAGCAAGAAAAGUUUUUAUUUUUCUAAUUUUCCUAGUUUAUAAAAUAAACUCAAAAAACGAAGUAGCAAUGUUGCGAUGAGAUAAUUCUACACUUAAAUUUAAAAAUUUCUUUACAAUAAAAAAAAUACGCUGUUAAUGUACUGAUAAUUAGAUAAUAGUAAAUAUUUUCGGUUUUCUUAAAAUAAAAUCAACAGGUAAUAUACGAUUAGAAUCCCUUUUUAAUCAAUAAGAAGUCAACAAACCGAACUAAAAGUUAAAUCUUGCAUAACAUCCAUGUCACUCAAGGUCUGGGACAUUGCAUUUCUCGUUUUAAACCGAUACUGUACUAAAUGGUUCAGUGGAGCCACAGACAAAACAAGAAAAUUAAUUUUAAGACAAAAAGUUUUAAGCUGUCAGUUAAAAAUAUAAUAACGACAUAAAAUAAUAUAAUUCAAAAUGUUUAAUAAGUAAUGUUCCCUCUAAUUUUUUGAUGGCGUGCCAGAAAAAUCGUCACAGGUAAAAAAUACGAAAUUUCAAAUUGUAUUAUUGUUUUCAUAGCUUGUGAUUUAAUAUAUAAAACAGAAUGCAACA